rnacentral:rRNA from 13 species
CUUAGAUGUUCUGGGCCGCACGCGCGCUACACUGACGAACUCAGCGAGUUUAUAACCUUGGCCGGAAGGUCCGGGUAAUCUUGUGAAAGUUCGUCGUGAUGGGGAUAGUCCCUUGCAAUUAUUGGACUUCAACGAGGAAUUCCUAGUAAGUGCGAGUCAUCAGCUCGCGUUGAUUACGUCCCUGCCCUUUGUACACACCGCCCGUCGCUACUACCGAUUGAAUGGCUUAGUGAGGCCUCCGGAUUGGCGCCAGGAGCUUAGCGAUAGGCACCUGGCAUCGAGAAGCUGGUCAAACUUGGUCAUUUAGAGGAAGUAAAAGUCGUAACAAGGUAUCCGUAGGUGAACCUGCGGAUGGAUCUU